AUGAAGACCAUGUUCAUCCUCGCUCUCCUCACCUUCACGGCGACCAGCGCAGUUGCGCAGCUGGACACUACCUGUAGCCAGGGCUACGGGCAAUGCCAGCAGCAGUCGCAGCCUUAGAUGAACACAUGCGCUGCUUUCCUGCAGCAGUGAGCCAGACACCAUAUGUCCAGUCACAGAUGUGGCAGGCAAGCAGUUGCCAGUUGAUGCGGCAACAGUGCUGCCAGCUGACACGUCUUCAU
rnacentral:rRNA from 1 species